rnacentral:tRNA from 4 species
GCUUCUGUAGCUCAGUUGGUAGAGCAAUUGCCUCGUAAGCAAUGGGUCACGCGUUCGAGUCGCGCCAGAAGCU